rnacentral:lncRNA from 1 species
AAUUAAUGAAAGACGUGUGAAUUUAAUAUUUUCAUUAAAAAAGACGUUGAAAUGUUCGUAUUUUGUGCAAUUGAAAAUUUAAGGACAUGAUUUACAUACAUAUAAGAAAUCAGACGAUACCAAGAGAAUAUUUUGACCACUAGUGCAACACUUACAGGUCGGAAGAACAAAGACGGAAAACAAACAAAAAAUAAACAAAUUAGGC